rnacentral:misc_RNA from 1 species
AUGUAAUUAAGACUUAUGUAAUGCAUUUUGGUGUUGAUGUAAAUAGUGAAAAUUGUGUUUAUGAAUGAAAAAGUGAAUAUUUAUUUAUGUUUUGUACAUGAAUAUCCUAUGAAAUGAAUGAAUGAGAAUUGAGAGUAUAUUUGAGAAAUAUUGAGAUUUUGUUGAUGAAAUGGAGUUUGAGAUUGAUUGAGAAUUUUGGAAGUGUUUUUCUCAGGUUUCGAAGAACUGUUUUCUCUAUUUUUAGUCGACACUUUGCGGGAUUUUCUGAAAAUUUUUCGGAACCUCCAAUAAAUUUAAAAUUUCAAUAAAUGAUGUAAAUGAUAUCAAUUUCAUAAGUUUCACUUAGUGAUCCAUAAAUAAAUAAAUUUUGAAAUGAUAAAUAUCAACGAGUUAAGAUUUGGUAUUCCGACACACUGUGUGACAUAUCUUGUUCAGCUACACUAUAGACAGAUAAAGGGUGUCACAUUCCCCCGAUUGAUACACUUUCAUACCCAGUGCACAAAACCGUCCCACCUAUGUUAAAAAUUGAUUUGAAGAAACAAUUUGAUUGUUUUGAAAUUCCUAUGAUUUCUCAUCGUAAAACAAGAAAUUCAAUUUGCAUUCACACUCUCAGUUGUAAUGCUUAUGACCUACCUGAAACCAAAACUUAUAAUUCACCCAUAAAAUAAAAUUUUAAGUCUAAGGGUGCAAACUAAAGAGGUGAAUAAAAAUGGAGUUUCCAUCCGUUGCUAGCUAUGAUCCAGGAAUGUAAGGGCAACACUACUAUUCCCUGAAGUCAUCUUUGUCAUCAACAGGAAUUGGUCUGUUCCUCCAAAACACCGCAAGAGCACUCCCACCAAGUGCCAUGCAAACAACACUAACAGCAGAAGGCACAGCCACUAGAGGGUUGGUGAAAUGUUUCUGAGCAAGCAGAAAUCCAAGUGCAGAGCUCUGCAUCCCACAUUCUAUGGAUAUGGUACGUGAUGUGGAUUCACCAAAUGAUGUUUUUGACAACCAAUAACCAAGAGCAAAUGCAGCAACAUGGAGUAGAGCCACUGGCAUUAUCAGUUGUGCGCCUUGGGCUUUCAACACAUCUGACACUUGUCCAAUCUUAGAAACAGUAAUUAUUAUGUUAAGUCCUUACUGAAGAAACUGUUUCCAAAUAAUCUAAAUUGCAUGUCAAAGCUAUAUUAGGUACUUAAAAUAUAUAUUUGAAACUUACAGGGCUUGCACAGAGUAGGGUUGUGAGAAGAACUCCAAUCAAAGGCGUUACUGUGAUUAUUUUUGAAGUGAACUUAGGGAAAAAUUCAUUCGAUAGCACUCCAACAACAGUUGGCACUAACACAACCUGAAACGUGCUAAUAGCCAGGCCCUGAAAAGAUGGCAGAAAAAUAAAGUAUUUAAAUAAAAUACUUAUUAUUAUUAUUUUUUUUUGCAUAAAUAAGUCUGGGAAUUUUUAAACUAUCUCUUGUAACUAUGGUAGACGGCCUUGAGAUCUAGCAUGUUCCACCCUCAUAUUUCUCAUAUUGAUGUUCAGCUGAACUCUGUUGACUGUGAAUGACUGUGAUCAUAUAUGAAAAUGCUACCUAUGAAAUGGAUGUAACAAUUCAAUAAUUCGCAAUUCAGAAUGGAGAACUCCUGAAUGGCAACUUGACCUGCUAUGUUAUGAAUGACAUCAUUCAACUUGGUAGGGUGUCUACCAAACUAAACAUAUCUAUGCAUUCAUGGCUCUGAGAACCAUGUCAGUAAAAUGCUACUCCUGCCAUGUACAAAACUCAUGGGGAUGUGCCAUUGGGCCAGCCAUCCAUUUGACUGAUGCAUCAAUCAUUCAGUAUAUUGUUUCCUCCAGUCAUCAAAUUUCAUGUUGCACCAAAAACUUAAAAAGUGUUUAGACAGGCAAUAAUCAAGCCAGUCCAACGUACCGCAGCAUCAACAGGAACAAGCUGACCAGCAAGAAGCUUAGUCAGGAGUGGUGUCAUGACGAUAGCUCCAAUUGUUGAACACCUACAGAAAUCCUAGAGAAAAUUAGGAAACAGGUCUAACAAUGAAAUCCAAAGUUUACAGAUGCUAAUAGUAGAUGUAGUUUUUUCACAAAUUAUUGUUCUUCAUUAUAAGCUGCAGCCAUUCACUCUGGUGAGGAGAGAAUCUGUCACAAAUACAUUUGUUGAUCAUGA